ACGGGAGGCAGCAGUAGGGAAUAUUGGACAAUGGGGGCAACCCUGAUCCAGCGAUGCCGCGUGUGUGAAGAAGGCCUGCGGGUUGUAAAGCACUUUAGUGGGGGAGGAAGUUUAUCAGAUUAAGAGUUAGAUAAAUUGACGUUACCCCAAGAAUAAGCACCGGCUAACUCUGUGCCAGCAGCCGCGGUAAUA
rnacentral:rRNA from 1 species